rnacentral:rRNA from 1 species
GGCGGUUUGAUCCUGGCUCAGAACGAACGCUGGCGGCAUGCCUAACACAUGCAAGUCGAACGCGUGUAGCAAUACACGAGUGGCGCACGGGUGAGUAACGCGUGGGAACCUGCCCUGGAGUGUGGGAUAACCCGGCGAAAGCCGGGCUAAUACCGCAUACGACCUGAGGGUGAAAGAUUUAUCGCUCUAGGAGGGGCCCGCGUCGGAUUAGCUAGUUGGUGGGGUAAUGGCCUACCAAGGCGAUGAUCCGUAGCUGGUCUGAGAGGAUGAUCAGCCACACUGGGACUGAGACACGGCCCAGACUCCUACGGGAGGCAGCAGUGGGGAAUAUUGGACAAUGGGGGCAACCCUGAUCCAGCAAUGCCGCGUGAGUGAUGAAGGCCUUAGGGUUGUAAAGCUCUUUCGGCGGGGACGAUGAUGACGGUACCCGCAGAAGAAGCCCCGGCUAACUUCGUGCCAGCAGCCGCGGUAAUAACCUAAAUAGC